AGUGAACGCUGGCGGCGUGCCUAAUACAUGCAAGUCGAACGGAGUGGCGCACGGGUGAGUAACGUAUAGCUAAUCUGCCCUAUACUAGAGGACAACAGGUGGAAACGACUGCUAAUACUCUAUAGUGUAGGAUGAGGCUAUAUUGUCUCAGCUAGGUGGUGAGGUAAUGGCUCACCAAGGCUAUGACGCAUAACUGGUCUGAGAGGAUGAGCAGUCAAAUAGGAACUGAGACACGAUGCGGGAACCUACGGGAAGCAUCAGAAGGGAAUGAUACUCAAUGGGGGAAAGCCAAAAGCAGCUCCGCAGCGUGAAGGAUGACACUUUUCGGCGCAUAAAAUCCUUUUGAUAGGGAAGCGGUACCUAACGAAUAAGCACCGGCUAACUCCGUGCCAGCAGCCGCGGUAAUAC
rnacentral:rRNA from 1 species